UGGGGCACAGCCAGGCCAUCACCCCGGGGCCACCGUCGCAGGCAGGUGGAGGCUGGCAGCCCAGAGGCAGACAGGGGCUUGGAGGCAGGGUGGGGAGCAAGGCCAAGGCCGCUCUCUGGCCCCCAGUGUCACAGGAUGACCUCAGCCCUGGCCUGGCCCCAGAGCAGGUUGGUUCACUGCUGGGCCCUGUGGACUUGUUCUCAUGCUUUGUCAGUGUCGAUGUCGAAAGCCCAAAGUGUUUCCCAAGUCCUGCUACCUUGGUAAGACUCAACCCUCAAUCUCAGUCUCCCCUGCAGAUCUCUGUGGGGCUUGGUCUGAACUUUCGUUAGGUGAGUGUGGAGUAGGCAUUAUUGUACAUUGUAGUCCUUUCUCCUCAUGGUGACACCAUCUAAGAGGCACUGGCCAGAGAGCUGGGCAGCAGCUGCCACCUGGGAUGAAGAUGGGCAGA
rnacentral:lncRNA from 10 species